rnacentral:lncRNA from 1 species
CCGAGGAGAAAGAAGAGACGCCAUUUCGAGGCUGCAAACGGCUGCGCAUUUCUUGCUGCGAUCAACCUAUGAAGAAUCUGCCCUCUGCGUCCAGUAAUGCAACCAUGACCUCUGACCCCAGUAUCAACAUGAGGAAGAGACACAGAUCACAGUCUCCACAUCCCAGCUGUGUGUCUGUGAAGAGUAGCAGAUCCAUGAUGCUACCUGAAACUUUCAAUGAUGCAGUGACCUCUGACCCUCCAACAUCUUUGACCUGCACUGCAUCCAGUGAGGCUGGAGACCUGCAGAAACCAGUGGAUGAUGUUCUUCAGAGAGUCAAAAAUCAACACAAAACCAUCAUGAAGAACAAGUACGGGCAAUGUGAUGUUCUAUGAGGAGGACCUGAUUGAGAGCAGCAUAGACGUCACUGAUGCCUCAGUGUAUUCUGGGAUUUGCACUGAGAUCUUUAAGGAGGAGUUUGUGCUUCAUCAGAGGAAAGUCUACAGC